UAGAGAUAGCUGGUUAUUCAAGAAAAGGAUCUAGUCCAAUUUUAAACCUUCCUAUAAUACUAAAUACACCACCAGCUUUAAAAUUUAUUCAAAUAAGGUACAGCCUAUUUGAAACAGGAUACAACCUAUCCAGCAGGGUAAUGAUACAUCUACAUGUCCAAGUUGGCCUAAAAGCAGCCACCUUUAAAAAAGCGUUAUAGCUUAAUCACACAAUAUUAUCAAUUUUUACUAAAACCCAAAACCCUCCUCCCCUACUGAAUGAAUCUAUACCAAUAUAGAAGACCUUAUGUUAAAACUAGUAAUAAGAAAUCUUUUCUCCCUAAAGCACGUGUAAGCCAGAAUGAAACACUCACCGGCACUUACCGCCAAGAAUCUACAGUAUUAACCCUGCAAGAAAAAUCUACUCUCUCAAGUCGUUAACCUCACGCCAGAGCUUUACCGGAAGAUUUAAAAAGGGGGAAGGAACUCGGCAAAAAAUAACCCCGCCUGUUUACCAA
rnacentral:rRNA from 1 species